UACGUAGGGUGCAGGCGUUAAUCGGAAUUACUGGGCGUAAAGCGUGCGCAGGCGGUUUCUUAAGUCAGAUGUGAAAGCCCCGGGCUUAACCUGGGAACUGCGUUUGAAACUGGGAGACUUGAGUGUGGCAGAGGGGGGUGGAAUUCCACGUGUAGCAGUGAAAUGCGUAGAUAUGUGGAGGAAUACCGAUGGCGAAGGCAGCCUCCUGGGCCAACACUGACGCUCAUGCACGAAAGCGUGGGGAGCAAACAGG
rnacentral:rRNA from 1 species